rnacentral:rRNA from 1 species
UAGGGAAUCUUCCGCAAUGGGCGAAAGCCUGACGGAGCAACGCCGCGUGAGUGAUGAAGGUCUUCGGAUCGUAAAACUCUGUUUUUAGGGAAGAACAAAUGUGUAAGUAACUAUGCACGUCUUGACGGUACCUAAUCAGAAAGCCACGGCUAACUACGUGCCAGCAGCCGCGGUAAUACGUAGGUGGCAAGCGUUAUCCGGAAUUAUUGGGCGUAAAGCGCGCGUAGGCGGUUUUUUAAGUCUGAUGUGAAAGCCCACGGCUCAACCGUGGAGGGUCAUUGGAAACUUGGAAACUUGGGUGCAGAAGAGGAAAGUGGAAUUCCAUGUGUAGCGGUGAAAUGCGCAGAGAUAUGGAGGAACACCAGGGGCGAAGGCGACUUUCUGGUCUGUAACUGACGCUGAUGUGCGAAAGCGUGGGGAUCAAACAGG